rnacentral:rRNA from 1 species
UAAGGAAUAUUGGACAAUGGAGGCAACUCUGAUCCAGCCAUGCCGCGUGAAGGAAUAAGGCCCUAUGGGUUGUAAACUUCUUUUAGACGGGACAAAACCCCUUUACGUGUAAAGGGUUGAUGGUACUGUCAGAAUAAGCAUCGGCUAACUUCGUGCCAGCAGCCGCGGUAAUACGAAGGAUGCAAGCGUUAUCCGGAAUUAUUGGGUUUAAAGGGUGCGUAGGCGGACUAAUAAGUCAGUGGUGAAAGCCUGCAGCUUAACUGCAGAAUUGCCAUUGAUACUGUUAGUCUUGAGUACAGUUGAGGUAGGCGGAAUGUGUCAUGUGGCGGUGAAAUGCUUAGAUAUGACACAGAACACCGAUUGCGAAGGCAGCUUGCUAAGCUGUAACUGACGCUGAGGCACGAAAGCGUGGGGAGCAAA